ensembl:lncRNA
CUGGCAUAAAUUACUCUGGCUCUGCUCAAUUCAAUGGAGCUCCAGUAAUUGUAAUCAGCUGAAGAUUGUACCUUUGUUUUAUUUGUGGCUGUGGAAUGCAGUUCCUUAUCAGCAGCAGGUCAGGACACCUGCUGGGAGAACAGAGUCCAUUAACCUGAAGAUGGGUGACUGGUUUGUUCUCAGCUGUCCAGCUACUGGAUGAGAAGAAAGGCCAGUAAAAGAAAACAACUGCAGACGUUGGAUUAUCUAUUGAGCUGCCCUGGCCUUUCCCUGCUGCAGAACAGGUCUUCUACUGGUGCAGAAAGAGCUGGAGCUGCGCUUGCCUCUCCUCUCUAGGCAAAUCACCAAGAAAGGAGCUGGUCCAGCUUAACCCUUGGCACAAAGCACGUCUAAGAACGAGCAGCCUGUUGGGCUGCAUGCCAGGAAAGCAUCAGGGGAGAGAGAGAGAAAAAAAAAAAAAAAAGCAGAAAACCAGAACAUAAACACAAGAUUGCUGCGGUAAUUGGUGGCUCUGAAAAACACUGAGGAAAUGUGAGGCUUGUAUGAAACAUCAGCAGACAAGAAGCGGGGUGAUGUCAGACGGCCUUCCAGGAUUAGAAACCCUUAAAAGCUCCCGAGUGCGGAACUGCCUGCGAAACGCGCUGCGGCUCUUUGGCGUGGAAGGACCCGAGGAGGACAAGUUCUGUUGAAAACCAACCCCGUGGUUCAGGUUCAGGAGAAUAAAAAGAAAUAAAGGAGGAGAAGGGAAGAGCGGCAGAUAAAAGGAGGGAAAAAUGAGAGGAAAAUGAAGACAAAAAAUGGAAGAGGAAGAAAGGAAGGAGGUAGUGAAGAGAAUAAAGGAGAGGUGAAGCAAGAAGACAAAAGAAGAAAAAUAAAAGGAAGAGAAAAAAUGGAAAAGACAAAAGAAAGCAAACAGAAGAAAGAAAAAUAAAAGAAAGAAUGAGAGAAGGAAGUAAAAAAUGUUGUGAGUACAGUAAGCAUGGCAAAAGAGAAGCAGGGCUUUUUGGAUGCAAAUAUGAAAAUAUCGAGGGAUUCAACACAAACAUCUCAUUACCCCAAAUUAAGUCAAUACAACUAUAAUAGAAGAAAGAUCAGAGAGAAUGGAAUUGUAGUUGCAAUAAUGCUGGAGCCACACAGAAAAAGGCUUUGAACAGGGGUACACAAAACCAGAAAAAAUAAAGAAGGAAAAAAAACCUCUCCCAC